UUGAAAUGUAAAAUUUAAGUAGAAUUUAACUAGGAACAGAUGUCUAACAAAUGAUAAAUAUCCUUUGGAAUCAUUCUGAAUAGCAAGUGACAUAAGUAAUAAAAUAGACCUAAAUAUUUCAAGAGAACAUGCCAUACGUUUAGAGAACACAUAAUGUUGUUACAAUAUGCAAGAAUGUUUCAGUAGAACUACCAAAAAGAUGAGUCGUACAAAAUAUGCCAAAAGUAUUAUCAGGGUCAUCUCUCGAUUCAUAAUGCAAUAGUACAUUAGCUUGCUUCAGAACACCAUCUGGCUUAUCCAUGGACGGAAUCGAGGUAGAGUUAGAAGAAUGCUCUCUGCUUACGGCAAUCUGUUUGGAGCUCUCUUUGUUCAAAUCUUUUUUACAAUGCGCUGACAGUACUGCAGUGGGCGCAGAGAGAUUUUGACCCAUCCGGAGUAAUAUUGGGAUUAUGCAAAACCCCAUGUUUGAAUCUUUGUAAAGGAAUGCUGUUCAUAAAGGGCAUUUUGUUCCUCGGAGGUGCUCUUGGACCUCCCUUUUCUUUAUCAUUAACGUGAAGCCUUGGAAACAUAGGCCCUAUUAAUAAAUUCUCUUCACCUUUCCCUCUCUUCAUUUCUUGCUCCUAAUUAUUCCAUAAAGAAAAAAUAAUAAUUUAACAGAAGGCAUAUUGUUUAGGCCUAUGUUGAGAACAAUAAGAACAUACGACAAAUCAAAGUGAAACAGAAAAGUGAUUCGGGAAUCGGGAAUUUCUGAAAGGGGAAAAAGAUAAAACGACUGUGUGAAAAGGGAAGGUGCAAAAGUGCAAAAGGUAGGAACCGGUUUGGAUAGAACAGGAGAGAAACUAGAACGUCAUUCUAAAGAGAGUAUUUAAUAAUAGGAUUAAAUAUUCAGUUGGGCAUUGAUUAGAAACUUAUCUUUAGAUGUUAAUUGUUUGCCAUUAAAAUAAUAGCCAAGUAUAAUUCUUUUGUUUAAUUAUAUGACAUGUAGACAAGAUUUUGCUUCAAGUUGUAAUAUUAAUUGACUUGUGCAUGUAACUGCAACUCACGGAUAUGAGUUAUGCCAUGGGACAGGAAAUAUAAUUUUGCUUCUGUGGAUGGGACCUCUUUCCUUAAUUAAAAAUCUCGAGUUCGAGCCCUCGGUAUGAAAAAACCCUUGGUAGGCAACGCUUUCCCACGAAUGGGGCCCUACGCGGCGCGAUUCCGGAUAUACACUCAGCAAAAAGAGGUGAUUUUUCACACUUUGUAUACCUGCAACUUAGCAUUAUUGGGAUUAUGCAAAACCCCAUGUUUGAAACUUUGUGAAGGAAUGCUGAGCUGCUCAUAAAGGGCCAUUUUGUUCCUUGGAGGUGCUCUUGGACCUCCCUUUCCUUUAUCAUUAACAUGAAGCCUUGGAAACAUAGGCCCCAUUAAUAAAUUCUCUUCCCCAUUUCCUCUCUUCAUUUCUUGCUCCUAAUUAUUCCAUAAAGAAAAAAUAGUAAUUUAACAGAAGGCUUGUUGUUUAGGCCUAUGUUGAGAACAAUAAGAACAUAUGACAAAUCAAAGUGAAAACAUAAAAGUGAUUCGGGAACUGGGAAUUUUUGAAAGGGGAAAAAGAUGAAACGACUAUGUGAAAAGAGAAGGGGCAAAAGUACAAAAGGCAGGAAUCGGUUUUGGAUAGAACGGGAGAGAAACUAGAACGUCGUUCUAAAGAGAGUAUUUAAUAGUAGGAUUAAAUAUUCUGUUGGGGCAUUGAUUAGAAAGUUAUCUUCACUUGUUAAUUGUUUUCCAUUAAAAUAAUAGCCAAGUAUUUUCUUUUGUGUUUAAUUAUAUGACAUGUAGACAAGAUUUUGCUUCAAGUUAUAAUAUUAAUUGACUAGUGCGUGUAACUACAACUCACGGAUAUGAGUUAUGCCAUGGGACAGGAAAUAGAAUUUUGCUUCGGUGGAUGGGACUUCUUCCCUUAAUUAGAGAUCUCGAGUUCGAGCCCUACGUAUGAAAAAAUUCUUGGUAGGGAGUGCUUCCCCCGAAUGAGGUCCUACGCGGCGUGAAUCCGGAUAUACACGCAGCAAAAAGAGAUGAUUUUCACACUUUGUAUACCUGCAAAUUAACAUUAUUGGGAUUAUGCAAAACCCCAUGUUUGAAUCUUUGUGAAGGAAUGUUGAGCUGCUCAUAAAGGGCCAUUUUGUUCCUUCGGGGUGCUCUUGGACCUCCCUUUCCUUUAUCAUUAACAUGAAGCCUUGGAAACAUAGGCCCCAUUAAUAAAUUCUCUUCAUCUUUUCCUCUCUACAUUUCUUGCUCCUAAUUAUUCCAUAAAGAAAAAAUAAUAAUUUAACAGAAGGCGUGUUGUUUAGGCCUAUGUUGAGAACAAUAAGAAUAUAUGACAAAUCAAAGUGAAAACAUAGAAGUGAUUCGGGAACUGGGAAUUUCUGAAAGGGAAAAAUGAUGAAACGACUGUGUGAAAAGAGAAGGGGCAAAAGCGCAAAAGGCAGGAACCGGUUUUGGAUAGAACAGGAGAGAAACUAGAACGUCGUUCUAAAGAGAGUAUUUAAUAUUAGGAUUAAAUAUUCAGUUGGGACAUUGAUUAGAAAGUUAUCUUCACUUGUUAAUUGUUUGCCAUUAAAAUAAUAGCCAAGUAUUUUUUUUUUGUGUUUAAUUAUAUGAUAUGUAGACAAGAUUUUGCUUCAAGUUGUAAAAUUAAUUGACUAGUGCCUAUAACUACAACUCAUGGAUAUGAGUUAUGCCAUAGGACAGGAAAUAGAAUUUUGCUUUGGUGGAUGGGACCUCUUCCCUUAAUUAGAAGUCUCGAGUUCGAGCCCUGGGUAUGGAAAAAUCUUUGGUAGGGAGCGUCUACCCCGAAUAGGGCCGUACGCGGCGCGAAUCCCGAUAUACACUCAGCAAAAAGGGGUGAUUUUUCACACUUUGUAUACCUGCAAAUUAGCAUUAUUGAGAUUAUGCAAAACCCCUUGUUUGAAUUUUUGUGAAGGAAUGCUGAGCUGCUCAUAAAGGGCCAUUUUGUUCCUUCGAGGUGCUUUUGGACCUCCCUUUUCUUUAUCAUUAACGUAAAGCCUUGGAAACAUAGGCCUAUUAAUAAAUUCUUUCACUUUUCCCUCUCUUCUUUUCUUGCUCCUAAUUAUUCCAUAAAGAAAAAAUAAUAAUUUAACAGAAGGCCUGUUGUUUAGGCCUAUGUUGAGAACAAUAAGAACAUACCAUAAAUCAAAGUGAAAACAGAGAAGUGAUUCGGGAACUGGUAAUUUCUGAAAGGGGAAAAAGAUGAAAUGAUUGUGUGAAAAGGGAAGGGGCAAAAGUGCAAAAGGCAGAAACCGGUUUUGGAUAGAACAUGAGAGAAACUAGAACGUCGUUCUAAAGUGAGUAUUUAAUAUUAGGAUUAAAUAUUCAGUUGGGGCAUUGAAUAGAAAGUUAUCUUCACUUGUUAAUUGUUUGCCAUUAAAAUAAUAGCCAAGUAUUUUCUUUUGUGUUUAAUUAUAUGACAUGUAGACAAGAUUUUGCUUCAAGUUGUAAUAUUAAUUGACUAGUGCCUGUAUCUGUAACUCACGGAUAUGAGUUAUGCCAUGGGACAGGAAAUAGAAUUUUUCUUCGGUGGAUGGGACCUCUUGUCGUAACCAGAGAUUUCGAAUUUGAGCCCUGAGUAUAGAAAAAUCCUUGGUAGGGAGCGCUUCCCUCGAAUGGGCCCUACGCGGCGCGAAUCCGGAUAUGCACUCAGCUAAAAUAGAUAAUUUUUCACACUUUGUAUACCUGUAAAUUAGCAUUAUUGGGAUUAUGCAAAACCCGAUGUUUGAACCUUUGUAAAGGAAUGUUGCUCAUAAAGGGUCAUUUUGUUCCUUGGAGGUGCUCUUGGACCUCCCUUUUCUUUAUCAUUAACGUGAAGCCUUGGAAACAUAGGCCCUAUU
rnacentral:lncRNA from 1 species